GUAUUUGGGUAGGUCUCCCAAAUAAGGAGAGAAGAGAGGAAUUGCCAGGCCUUCCAGAUAAGAUUUCCAGUAUUCUAAACUAUGGAAAUGUUAGAGAAACUUGCAAAUUCUAGCAGGCCAGAGACAUUGAAUGUUUUUUUUCUUAUUAAGAAAUAAUACUUUAAAAUGCAGAACAAUUUUGACUUCAGUGAUGUUUGAGAACUGCUCAUGUAAAAGAAAUCACACUAAAUGCUGUAUGUCCUUGUCGUAGUAGCUUCCAUUUAGUAGGUGUUAUAUUUGGUGCCACUUUGCUAAGUGAUUUUUAAAAUAAUAUUUCCUAUAAUUUUCACAAUCUUAUAUGUAGGUAUGAUUUCUAUUUUACCAGACAAAACAGGCGUAGAAAUGAUGGUUUACUUGCUCAAGUAAAGUAAGUAGCAGAACUGAGCUUUGAAUCCAGCUCAAGAGUAGGUAUGCAGAACCACUCCACCACAGUGCCUUGAAGGAACUGGUCUUCUAGAAGGGAGUAUGGUGUAUAUGUAAGUCCACACCAAGGGCAGGGAAGUGGGGCUGUGGGAGAGUAAAGACAUCUCAAUCCGACCUAAUACAGAUUUAUGAAGGAGCAGUAGAUGGAAGACUAAGGGGGGAAGAGAAAAGGAAGCAGGAAGAAAAGAGGCCUGUAUAUUGGGGUUAUGCUGUAUUGGGGUCCAAAAUACAUUGGACAGGUUUUCUCUUCAGGGCAUUUGAUUAAAGGGUGGUAGGUGUGGGUAUGGGUGUGGGGGUAUAUGUGUGUGUGUGUGUGUGUCUGACUGUUGGUGAAAGUACUUAAUGCAAAAUAAUUCCUUUCCAGAUCUCUCUGGCAUGAAGAACAUGGAACAAGGCUGUGAACUCUUCCAUGGCAGUAGCUCUGUCAGUUACCUCUGGAUUACUGUGACCACCACUGGACUAGGCACGUGCUAAACACUCAAUAGAUGUAGGUUGAAUGAAUGAAUGGCUUUUGGAUGAACCCGUGGCAAGAUGAGAGUUGGCACUGGUAAUAUAACAGUUCUGAAAAGAGUUAUCACUUCAUACCGUUUGAAAAUGUUAUCUUCAGCACAUCAAGUAUAUGCUAUGAACCAAGAGCCAGGUUCGGUCCUGGGAUUUAACAGUAAAUAAUACACAGUGGCUGUCCCGAGUUCUAGUGGAAAACUUGAAAUUGUAAGUUACGGUGUAGUGAGAGAUAUAAACACAAGUGCUCAAUAAAAUAACUAUGAUAGAAGCUCAGGCACUGUGAAUACACAUAGGAGAGGCAUCCAACCUAAACUGCAGCAUUGAGAGGUUUCCUAUAAAAGGAAAUACUGAGUUAAGGCUUGAAAAAUGAGGAAGAAUUAUCUAGUUCAGUGUCAAAAGAAAUGCAGGCAUUGAAAUCACCUAGUGCAAAAAUCUAGGGCUUGCAGGAAAUGAGGCUUUAGAGGAAUUUCAAAGUAGGGAAGAAUGUAAGGAAGCUGGGGGCAAAAUGAUGAGAGACCAGGCUGCACAGAUAGAAGUCAGAUCUUGAAAGACUGCUGUUUCUUUUUAGGAGUCUUGGCUUGUUUUAGAGCAGAGUGAAGGACGAGUGAUUAAGCAUUGAAGGGUUUAAGCAGUUGAAUAUGAUCAGAUUUGCAGUUUAGAAAUGACUUUGGAUUUGCUGCAGAGCGGAGAAUGGAUUUGCUACAGGAAUAAGACUGGAGGCAAGGAGACACUUGGUUUAUAGAAGAACUUCCAGCUUCAGUGGUGAAUUCUGCUCCCACAUGUUACCAAGGACUCUACUUGCAUGGGUUCCAGCACACACGGACUGGGCUCUUGGCCGCUUCUCCCCAGGACCCUCAGUACACAUAGGUAAGAAUGCUCUGUUCUUUCAGCUUGUCCCCCACCCCCUUUCAGGCUUCCAGCUUUACAUUUAUUUAUUCACUCAACAAAUAUUUGCUGAAGA
rnacentral:lncRNA from 1 species